GUCGUGCGGUUGCGCUACUUGCGUAAAUCGGUAUGGGAAUAGAGCUCCUCUCUGCGAAACUUGCGUGCGGCCCGGUAAUGCCGCUACGUCACCUGCGUAACUCGGCACGAGAAUAGCAUAGGUGGCAGCGGGCGGCGCGUCGUGAGGGGAGGUGGCGGGACAGAGGCUCCCUCACGGCACCGCCGGGCCGAGCCCUCAGGCAGUCGGGAUGAGGAGCCCGCGGUGAGCACUGCCCCGGUGCUGGAGCCUUCGGUAGUGCUGAGCUGAUGCCUGCACCCUCCUACAUGCAGUUUCCACAUCGAUGCAAUGGAUGCUGCUGAGGAGGAACCACCUCAGUUUGGUCUUUGUAAACUGCUGCUGCUCAGCCUGCAUGGACAGUUCUGGCAGUGCACUUGAAUAAGGCUGCAAAGUUCUGUGGCACUUCUGAGUCUUGUGAGGAUGUCUUGCCUCUAGGCUGGGCAUCACUGAGACAAGGAGAAGUACCAACCAAGAGAGAUCAAAGGGAAACCCAGGUAGGUUCCCAGGGAAGCUGCUGGGUGA